CUCUGACCUCUCUAUGGCAAGCCAAAUGGCCAUGGGAAGACCCCAUGGAGUGUCAGAAUGAUGCCGUUGAGGGCAAGGAUUUUAGACCGGUCAUGGAUUCUGCCUGUGCACUGGGCUCUACCACUUUCUAGCUAUCUGGCUACUAGCAAGUUACCUUAACAAUCUAAGUUUCAACCUCCCCAUUCGUGAAAUGGAGAUGAUGUCUUAGUCAUAGAAGUAGCAAGUCUACUGCAUAUCAACAGUGUAGCACUGAGCCUGGCUCUUUGUAAGUGUUCAGCUGGAGCGCAGUGGGAUGAUCUCUGCUCACUGCAGCCUCUGCCUUCUGGGUUCAAGUGAUUCUCCUGCCUCAGCCGCAUAAGGAAACAGGCCGAGAGACGCAAGUCAAACAGCAAAGGAUGGUCUGCUGUCUGUCUGACUCCAAUGCCAAUGGUCUUUCCUCUAUAAC
rnacentral:lncRNA from 10 species